rnacentral:rRNA from 1 species
UCGAACGCGAAAAGGGCUUCGGCUCUUAGUAGAGUGGCGAACGGGUGAGUAACACGUGGGUGACCUACCUUCGAAUGGGGGAUAACGUCCCGAAAGGGACGCUAAUACCGCAUAACAUCCUGCUUUUGAACAGGUGGAGAUCAAAGCCGGGGAUCGCAAGACCUGGCGUUUGAAGAGGGGCCCGCGUCUGAUUAGCUAGUUGGUGAGGUAACGGCCCACCAAGGCGACGAUCAGUAUCCGGCCUGAGAGGGCGGACGGACACACUGGGACUGAGACACGGCCCAGACUCCUACGGGAGGCAGCAGUGGGGAAUUGUUCGCAAUGGGCGCAAGCCUGACGACGCAACGCCGCGUGGAGGAUGAAGGUCUUCGGAUUGUAAACUCCUGUUGCCCGGGACGAAAAGCUUCGACCUAACACGUCGAAGUCUGACGGUACCGGGUGAGGAAGCCCCGGCUAACUCUGUGCCAGCAGCCGCGGUAAUACAGAGGGGGCAAGCGUUGUUCGGAAUUACUGGGCGUAAAGGGCGCGUAGGCGGCCUUCUAAGUCGAACGUGAAAUCCCCGGGCUCAACCCGGGAACUGCGUCCGAUACUGGAAGGCUUGAAUCCGGGAGAGGGAUGCGGAAUUCCAGGUGUAGCGGUGAAAUGCGUAGAUAUCUGGAGGAACACCGGUGGCGAAGGCGGCAUCCUGGGCCGGUAUUGACGCUGAGGCGCGAAAGCCAGGGGAGCAAACGGGAUUAGAUACCCCGGUAGUCCUGGCCCUAAAC